AGCGAACGCUGGCGGCGUGCUUAACACAUGCAAGUCGAGUGCGCAGCUUUCUGUAGCAAUACAGGAAGUGGGCGCACGGCGCACGGGUGAGUAACACGUGGGUAACCUGCCCUUGGAUGGGGAAUAACCCCGCGAAAGCGGGGCUAAUACCGCAUAACAUUCUUGAGACCUUGGUUUCGAGACUCAAAGCCUGCAAAGGCGUCCGAGGAGUGGCCCGCGUACGAUUAGCUAGUUGGCGAGGUAAUGGCUCACCAAGGCUUUGAUCGUUAGCCGGUCUGAGAGGAUGGCCGGCCACACUGGAACUGAGACACGGUCCAGACUCCUACGGGAGGCAGCAGUGGGGAAUAUUGCGCAAUGGGCGAAAGCCUGACGCAGCGACGCCGCGUGGGGGAUGACGCUUUUCGGAGUGUAAACCCCUUUCGAUCGGGACGAAUGCCUCGCAAGAGGAGUGACGGUACCGGUAGAAGAAGCCCCGGCUAACUACGUGCCAGCAGCCGCGGUAAUACGUAGGGGGCCAGCGUUGCUCGGAAUAACUGGGCGUAAAGGGUUCGUAGGCGGUGCGGCAAGUUGGGAGUGAAAUCUCUGGGCUUAACCCAGAGACUGCUUUCAAAACUGCCG
rnacentral:rRNA from 1 species